rnacentral:rRNA from 1 species
GGCGAACGCUGGCGGCGUGCCUAAUACAUGCAAGUUGAGCGCUGAAGGUUGGUACUUGUACCGACUGGAUGAGCAGCGAACGGGUGAGUAACGCGUGGGGAAUCUGCCUUUGAGCGGGGGACAACAUUUGGAAACGAAUGCUAAUACCGCAUAAAAACUUUAAACACAAGUUUUAAGUUUGAAAGAUGCAAUUGCAUCACUCAAAGAUGAUCCCGCGUUGUAUUAGCUAGUUGGUGAGGUAAAGGCUCACCAAGGCGAUGAUACAUAGCCGACCUGAGAGGGUGAUCGGCCGCAUUGGGACUGAGACACGGCCCAAACUCCUACGGGAGGCAGCAGUAGGGAAUCGUCGGCAAUGGACGAAAGUCUGACCGAGCAACGCCGCGUGAGUGAAGAAGGUUUUCGGAUCGUAAAACUCUGUUGGUAGGGAAGAACGUUGGUGAGAGUGGAAAGCUCAUCAAGUGACGGUAACUACCCAGAAAGCGACGGCUAACUACGUG